rnacentral:rRNA from 1 species
GUCUACGGCCAUGCCACCCUGAACAAGCCCAAUCCCGUCUGAUCUCGGCAAGUAAGCAGGGUUGGGCCUGGUUAGUACUUGGAUGGGAGACCACCUAGGAAGACCAGGUGCGGUAGGUA